rnacentral:rRNA from 1 species
AGUGAACGCUGGCGGUAGGCCUAACACAUGCAAGUCGAACGGCAGCACAGUAAGAGCUUGCUCUUACGGGUGGCGAGUGGCGGACGGGUGAGGAAUACAUCGGAAUCUACUUUUUCGUGGGGGAUAACGUAGGGAAACUUACGCUAAUACCGCAUACGACCUACGGGUGAAAGCAGGGGAUCUUCGGACCUUGCGCGAUUGAAUGAGCCGAUGUCGGAUUAGCUAGUUGGCGGGGUAAAGGCCCACCAAGGCGACGAUCCGUAGCUGGUCUGAGAGGAUGAUCAGCCACACUGGAACUGAGACACGUUCCAGACUCCUACGGAAGGCGGCAGUGGGGAAUAUUGGACAAUGGGCGCAAGCCUGAUCCAGCCAUACCGCGUGGGUGAAGAAGGCCUUCUGGUUGUAAAGCCCUUUUGUUGGGAAAGAAAAGCAGCAGGUUAAUACCCCGCUGUUCUGACGGUACCCAAAGAAUAAGCACCGGCUAACUUCGUG